GAAGAUGCAGUGUACCCGCGGCAAGACGGAAAGACCCCGUGAACCUUUACUAUAGCUUGACACUGAACAUUGAGCCUUGAUGUGUAGGAUAGGUGGGAGGCUUUGAAGUGUGGACGCCAGUCUGCAUGGAGCCGACCUUGAAAUACCACCCUUUAAUGUUUGAUGUUCUAACGUGGACCCGUAAUCCGGGUUGCGGACAGUGUCUGGUGGGUAGUUUGACUGGGGCGGUCUUCUCCUAAAGAGUAACGGAGGAGCACGAAGGUUGGCUAAUCCUGGUCGGACAUCAGGAGGUUAGUGCAAUGGCAUAAGCCAGCUUGACUGCGAGCGUGACGGCGCGAGCAGGUGCGAAAGCAGGUCAUAGUGAUCCGGUGGUUCUGAAUGGAAGGGCCAUCGCUCAACGGAUAAA
rnacentral:rRNA from 1 species